rnacentral:sRNA from 1 species
AUAAAAAUACAAUAUCCGUAUAAUCCGAAAAGAUAUAUUUAUUAUUGAACAGGGAAAAGUGGUUUUCAGAUUAACGCCAUGGCGGCUAUUUCGUGAGACCGAUGAGCAAGAGGAUUUAUCCGAUAAAAAAAUGCCGGCAAUUUGCCGGCAUUGUUCUUUGCU